UUUGGCAGUGUUAUAAAAGUUGGUUUUCCAAGACUUUUUUAACAUUAUUUUGCGAUUUUCUUUCAUAUAUUCUUCAAAAAUAUGUAAAAAUAAUGGCCAAUGAAUACGAAAUCUUCGAAUUUAUAGAGCAAGACAAUGCUGCUAGUAAUUAAUACUCCAAUAAUAACUCUAGCUGUCGCCCCGAAACUCUCCGAACUCUGCCGC